AGUUUGAUCAUGGCUCAGAUUGAACGCUGGCGGCAUGCUUUACACAUGCAAGUCGAACGGCAGCGCGGGGGCAACCCUGGCGGCGAGUGGCGAACGGGUGAGUAAUGCAUCGGAACGUAUCCUGUAAUGGGGGAUAACGUAGCGAAAGUUACGCUAAUACCGCAUACGCUCGAGAGAGGAAAGUGGGGAUCGCAAGACCUCACGUUAUAGGAGCGGCCGAUGUCCGAUUAGCUAGUUGGUGGGGUAAAGGCCUACCAAGGCGACGAUCGGUAGCUGGUCUGAGAGGAUGAUCAGCCACACUGGGACUGAGACACGGCCCAGACUCCUACGGGAGGCAGCAGUGGGGAAUUUUGGACAAUGGGCGAAAGCCUGAUCCAGCCAUGCCGCGUGCGGGAAGAAGGCCUUCGGGUUGUAAACCGCUUUAGUCCGGGAAAAAGGGGUGCGAGGAUAAUACCCUCGUGCUUUGAUGGUACUGGAAGAAUAAGCACCGGCUAACUACGUG
rnacentral:rRNA from 1 species